GCGCUCGGCAGCGCGUUUCUCACUGUAGUGACUGUGUCUAUACUCUACAGCGGAGAGAUCAAUGGCACAUCAGGUAAAUCUCCUUCUCUUCAUCACGAAGAAGAAGAAAGAAGAAGAAGGCGUAGUUCUCCUAGAAUCCAGGAGUGAGACUGGUUUCCCCAUAACGCUAUGAAAAGAGUAACCUACCUAUUCCAGUUGGGGUCAUGGAUGUUGCACUAAUUUAUUUUUGAAAAAUUGAGUGCGUUUUACUCCAAUCUGUAUCACGAUAAACAAGAUAAGAUCUAAAACCAAAAAAUGACCAUUCACUCUUGCCUCUAACGACAUCCACGGAAAUAUCGUUUAGUUACGACAUUAAACUGUAGCCUCGUGGUGAAAUUACUGGGAAGAUAAUAUUAAAGUUAAUUCAAGUUUCGAUUAUGAAAAAUCUAUUCCAGAAACUCGAUUUCAGGUUUGACUGGAAUCGUGAAUAGAAGACUCCUAAAGGAUACAAGCGACAAGAGCCCAAAAUAGAGCUAGAUUAUAUUUAUUAACGGGGCAACUUACAGCAGCUGCAACAUUACUUCCAUAAGAUGGACCAAUGUAGUGGCCCGUCGCUGCAAAUAGCACUAUGAAGGCGAUGAAGUACAUCACUGUUUGGAUGCCGACGCUAAUUAA